rnacentral:rRNA from 1 species
GAGUUUGAUCCUGGCUCAGGAUGAACGCUAGCGGCAGGCUUAAUACAUGCAAGUCGAGGGGCAGCAGCUUUAUAGCAAUAUAGAGGCUGGCGACCGGCAAACGGGUGCGGAACACGUACACAACCUUCCUUGAAUAGGGGGAUAGCCCAUAGAAAUGUGGAUUAAUACCCCGUAAUAUAGCGGUGUGGCAUCACACUGUUAUUAUAGUUUCGGCGAUUCGAGAUGGGUGUGCGGCUGAUUAGGUAGUUGGCGGGGUAAAGGCCCACCAAGCCUUCGAUCAGUAGCUGAUGUGAGAGCAUGAUCAGCCACACGGGCACUGAGACACGGGCCCGACUCCUACGGGAGGCAGCAGUAAGGAAUAUUGGUCAAUGGACGCAAGUCUGAACCAGCCAUGCCGCGUGAAGGAUGAAGGUCCUCUGGAUUGUAAACUUCUUUUAUAGGGGGCGAAAAAAGGUCUUUCUAGAUCACUGACAGUACCGU